GGGGAUGAUCGGUUUCGACAUGGGAGUGUUGUCCCAGGAGAAGCGGGCCGAGGAUCCAGGGUCAACUCGUUAAUGCCCCCUGGAAACCAAUAAGUGCCAACAAUAAGCGCACUGACUUCGCUCUCGCUGCCUGAGCAGUGAUCGAAGGGUCAGCCCGGGAGUGUUUCCGACCCGGUGCCUGGCCUAAUCAAGGAAACUCACCUAUCGCCUUGCGUCACAGGGCGUGAUGGGGACAUUUACUGUGACUGGGCUCGUCCACCACUUGCUGGCGUGAGGGUGGGAGCCGAGUAGAACGCCUAGCCAGAUGCGCCCGGAGAAUGUCUGAGCUGCCUUUCAUGGACCGGGGUUCGAUUCCCCGCAUCUCCACCC
rnacentral:tmRNA from 1 species